rnacentral:lncRNA from 1 species
AGAACAUGAUUUACCCACCCUAAAAUGCAUUGAAGGCAUCAGAGGGCACCGUGGGCCACAAGGCCUGGUAGCCACAAAUGUUCAGUGGUGGCUGGAGCUCAUGAUGCAUUCUUUGGUGGGACGUCUCUCAGCAUUAGGGAGAGUUGAGAGUGGGGUAGAAACAAGGGGUUCCAUGUAGCACACACUGUAUUUAGAAUGACUGGUCCAGGAUGAAACCUAAUUUGAGUGGACAUCCAUGGAUGAGAAAUGCGGAUAUGGGACUGAGACCAGCUCCUAGGAAAAUGUCUGGGUGGGGGAAAUC